GACGAACGCUGGCGGCGUGCUUAACACAUGCAAGUCGAACGGAAAGGCCCUGCUUUUGUGGGGUGCUCGAGUGGCGAACGGGUGAGUAACACGUGAGUAACCUGCCCUUGACUUUGGGAUAACUUCAGGAAACUGGGGCUAAUACCGGAUAGGAGCUCCUGCUGCAUGGUGGGGGUUGGAAAGUUUCGGCGGUUGGGGAUGGACUCGCGGCUUAUCAGCUUGUUGGUGGGGUAGUGGCUUACCAAGGCUUUGACGGGUAGCCGGCCUGAGAGGGUGACCGGCCACAUUGGGACUGAGAUACGGCCCAGACUCCUACGGGAGGCAGCAGUGGAGAAUAUUGCACAAUGGGGGGAAGCCUGAUGCAGCAACGCCGCGUGCGGGAUGACGGCCUUCGGGUUAUAAACCGCUGUAGCCUGUGACGAAGCGUGAGUGACGGUAAUGGGUAAAGAAGCACCGGCUAACUACGUG
rnacentral:rRNA from 1 species